rnacentral:rRNA from 1 species
UCCGUAGGCGGUGCGGCAAGUCGGAAGUGAAAUCUCUGGGCUUAACCCAGAGGCUGCUCCCGAAACUGCCGUGCUAGAGUGCGAGAGAGGCGAGUGGAAUUGCGGGUGUAGCGGUGAAAUGCGUAGAUAUCCGCAGGAACAUCCGAGGCGAAGGCGGCUCGCUGGAUCGCAACUGACGCUGAGGGACGAAAGCUAGGGGAGCAAACAGGAUUAGAUACCCUGGUAGUCCUAGCCCUAAACCAUCAGGACUUGGGGUUUGCCCUGUACGGGGCAAGUCCCGUAGCUAACGCGUUAAGUCCUGCGCCUGGGGAGUACGGUCGCAAGGCUGAA